UUUUCAGAUGAGAGAUACGAGUGCAGUUUAAAAAUGUCAUAAGGUUCUAAUUGGCAAUGAGAGGAUGAGCCAUGGAAUCACGAAGCGCGCCGCCAAGCCCCGACGAGGCGGGGGAGGCGGUGUACGACUCACAUUGCGUACGUUACCCGACACCAUCACUGCAAAGAACUUUUGCAAGUUGUCGCGAAACGACGCGACCUCGCCCUCAUCACCGCCACGCAACCUCAGAACCAGCACGGCCAGACGACCGUGUUCUUACGACUGCCGAAGUUCACGAUUAUCCUUCAUCAGAAUCAGGCAUCGCAGCCGACUGCCCUCAUGCGCAUACCAGCAACGCUGACGAUAGUCCUUCUUAUGACAGAUCUGACUAUGAAGGCAAUUCAAGUUAUAGUCUUAGGCGCACUUCAGAUUAUCAUCACACUAUUGAUUGUAAACAUCGUCCUGUAGACUAUAAUCGAAGUCAUACACCAGAUUAUAAUCAUGGACACGGCUCAGAUUGUGAUCGACCUUAUCCACGGUCUCAAACUUCCCGAAGACCCCAUAGAAAACAUAGACGAGAAGAAGAUGAUGGUGCACAGUCGCUGGAUGAACGAUGUGCUCGAGAUUUGGAUGAAAUUUUACCGGCGAGACUUGCUGCUGUCAAUUUAUCUAGAGAACCGCCUCCACAAACUUGGAAUAGAAGCAAUAUUGCAGCAACUAUGGAAAGAUUUGAACCUGUGGACUAUUCGUAUGCCUAUUAUGAUCAUCAUUUAUCGAUGCCUUCUUCAUCGAGAAAAACAAAUCGCCAAAGAGGACGUGGUGGCAUUCCUAAAGAUCGGUCUGCUCGUCAUAAUUAUGUUACAAGAUAUGGAACAGAAGAAAAUAUCUAUGAAGAAAUUACAGAUGGCUCAAGGACAUGUCCAAAACAUAGAUAUGUACCUAGGCAAUCAUUGGUCUCACUUGAUAGAAGUGUAGUUGAAGAAGAAGUACGCCGUGUAGAAUCCAGGCAUAAACGAAUUUUAGGGGAAUUAAACCUUAGCGUAGAAGCAAUGUUAAUGCCAGAAUGUGAGUCACCAGAUUCUGAACGGGCGGAAGAUAGAGAUAAUAUAGAGGAAUUACUCCGAGUAGGUCCAACUGAUGAAUUAUUAUCACCUGCUAGUUGCAAUCCUCCUGAUCUAGAUAGUGGUUUUAGCGGUAGCAGCAGUGGAGCAAGUUAUGUAGGUAGUUUGCGACGUAAGCCGACGGGAUCAGUGCCUCAUUUGCCUGCCGUAGCAUAUGGAACGCGUGGUGCUGGUGUACGCAUACUCGGUGCAGAAGAUUGUGGACUGAGAUGUCCUAAAGAUAUCCCUUCGCCGCGUAGUUCCAGUUGCGGGGAUGCGAAAACUAGCGGGUUUUGGAAUAAAAAAGCUUGGAAAAAAAUAUCGGGCUUUUCGAGCUCUAAUAGCAUCAACAAAGCUGGCCUCACCGGUCUGCUCGUUAGGUACACUUUCCGGCGUAAGUCCGGCUCGCAGGGCUCUCAGGGCAAGCGGCGUGCCGAGCCCGUCAAAUGCGAUGCGUGCCUCUCACAACGAUGUUAGCCGCGAUAUUAUUAUGAUGAAGCCUGUAGGCCAAGCAGAGCUAAAUCCAGAACAUCUACUAUACCAUACAGCUACUCCAACGGAAAACUGGUGGUGCCGCU